rnacentral:sRNA from 1 species
AAUGGGUAAUCUGCUGCGGGCAGAUGUUGUGGAUGUGGGUGUCGAUGCCGCCGGCGGUGGCGAUAAGGUGUGCGCCGUUAUGCACUUCGGUUGAUGCGCCGAUGACCAUAUUGGGCGUUACGCCGUCCAUGGUGUCGGGGUUGCCCGCCUGGCCGAUUCCGACGAUUUUGCCGUCGCGGAUGCCGAUGUCGGCUUUGAUGAUGCCGCUGUGGUCGAUAAUCAGCACGUUGGUGAUCGCGAAAUCGAGCACGUUUCCAUUGCUGCGGGUCGCGGUGGCAGACUGCGCCAUG